rnacentral:lncRNA from 1 species
UUGGUACCUUGGAGAGGUCAAAUAUUGUCACAACAGAAAAGAUAAAGAAAAACUAUCCAAGAACUACAAAGUCUUUGCAACCCAUGUCUCAUAUCUUGAGAUGCAGUUCUAUCAAUCAAUUUCCAUGCUACUUUCUUUGUGGCUCUAGCAAAAUGUUUUAAAAAUUGUAUUUAAAACAUAUUGAAGAGUAAAAAGUAAAUAACACAUUUACAGAUUUUUUUUUUCUGCAUCUGUUUUGAUUCAAGGUCUUUUGCAACCUAGAUGCCUUUCAACUGGAAGCUGACCUUGAACUCCUCCUAUCUCCUUGGUCCCUCCAAUCCUGAAUUAAAUGCCUACCUCACAAUAUUCAAGUAGUAUAUAUGUAUAUUUUAAGACAACUUUUCUUCUAUCUUUAGGAAUAAGUAGGGAAUUUUAGUUUUCCUAUAUAUUUUAGUGGAAUAUUUGAGUAUUUUGUGUUUUAAGGUUUUUCUGCUACAUUUUUACUUUUAUAAGUUUUCAUGCAAUAUAUUUUGAUGAUAGUCUUUCCUUUACCUUGAAUUCUACUAAGUCCUUCCUAUUUCCUUACUGACACAAAGUCAUGUUUUGUUUUCAUUCUCUUUUUAAAAAAGAAAAAAGCUACCACAAAACCAAGAAGAUAAAAGUCAUAACGAGUUAAGGCACAUAGACAAAGCAUUUUAACUGACUAUUUCUGAACAAAAGGCCGACCCUGAAAUGUGGUUGAUGUACUCAGUUGAUAUUUCCAUUGAAGAAAACUGAAUUUUCUUUUAUUCAGACAUGCCACUCCUACAUAGUACGACUUGAACUGUAUAAGAAAAAUACCAGAUGAUAAAGCCAGAGGAAGUAACACCAGAUAAAGCCAGAGGAAGUGACCAGGAAUAAUUUCAUUUGUCCUGAGACAAGGAAUUGACCGUAAAUUGUUAUAGCAAACCUAGAAAAUUGAGCUAGGGCAACUAUGGAAUUUGUGUGCUAACUUCUAUGUGGUGCAUGGUAAGAAUUGCCUAGCAUUAAUGACUCCUCAGAGCUUCUGAGUAGACUGUAUGGUGGCUUUGCUUCAUCAAUGACAGAGACAGAAGAGACCAGGACCCUGGAGGAGAGAAAGAAGAAAGCAGAACAAGGGAACUGUGGUCCUGCACAGAGAGACAGUGGCAAAGCAAGCCUGUGAAACACACCUAGUCUCUCUCUCUGUCUCUCUCUGUCUCUGUCUGUCUGUCUGUCUGUCUGUCUGUCUCUCUCUCUCUCUUU